rnacentral:rRNA from 1 species
CCUACGGGUGGCAGCAGUGGGGGAUAUUGCACAAUGGGGGGAACCCUGAUGCAGCGACGCCGCGUGGGUGAAGGAGUGCUUCGGCAUGUAAAGCCCUAUCGGCAGGGAAGAAGCAGGACGUUACCUGACUAAAAAGCCCCGGCUAACGACGUGCCAGCAGCCGCGGUAAGAGGUAGGGGGCGAGCGUUAUCCGGAUUCACUGGGUGUAAAGGGAGCGUAGACGGCCCAGCAAGCUGGGGGUGAAAGCCCGGGGCCCAACCCCGGGACUGCCCUUGGAACUGCGUGGCUGGAGUGCAGGAGGGGUAGGCGGAAUUCCUGGUGUAGCGGUGAAAUGCGUAGAUAUCAGGAGGAACACCGGUGGCGAAGGCGGCCUGCUGGACUGCGACUGACGUUGAGGCUCGAAGGCGUGGGGAGCGAACAGGAUUAGAUACCCGAGUAGUC